AUUGAACGCUGGCGGCAGGCCUAACACAUGCAAGUCGAACGAGUGGCGGACGGGUGAGUAAUGUCUGGGAAACUGCCUGAUGGAGGGGGAUAACUACUGGAAACGGUAGCUAAUACCGCAUACCAUCAGAUGUGCCCAGAUGGGAUUUGCUUGGUGGUGGGGUAACGGCUCACCAAGGCGACUAUCCCUAGCUGGUCUGAGAGGAUGACCAGCCACACUGGAACUGAGACACGGUCCAAACUCCUACGUCAGGCAGCAGUGGGAAAUAUUGCACAAUGGGCGCAAGCCUACUGCAGCCAUGGCGCGUGGAUGAAGAAGGCCUUCGGGUUGUAAAGUACUUUCAGCGGGGAGGCGUUACCCGCAGAAGAUGCACCAGCUGACUCCGUGCCAGCAGCCGCGGUAAUUC
rnacentral:rRNA from 1 species